UAGGGAAUCUUCGGCAAUGGACGAAAGUCUUACCGAGCAACGCCGCGUGAGUGAAGAAGGUUUUCGGAUCGUAAAACUCUGUUGUUAGAGAAGAACAAGGACGUUAGUAACUGAACGUCCCCUGACGGUAUCUAACCAGAAAGCCACGGCUAACUACGUGCCAGCAGCCGCGGUAAUACGUAGGUGGCAAGCGUUGUCCGGAUUUAUUGGGCGUAAAGCGAGCGCAGGCGGUUUCUUAAGUCUGAUGUGAAAGCCCCCGGCUCAACCGGGGAGGGUCAUUGGAUACUGGGAGACUUGAGUGCAGAAGAGGAGAGUGGAAUUCCCUGUGUAGCGGUGAAAUGCGUAGAUAUAUGGAGGAACACCAGUGGCGAAGGCGGCUCUCUGGUCUGUAACUGACGCUGAGGCUCGAAAGCGUGGGGAGCAAACAGG
rnacentral:rRNA from 1 species